GAAGUUGGAAUUGCUAGUAAUCGCGGAUCAGCAUGCCGCGGUGAAUACGUUCCCGGGCCUUGUACACACCGCCCGUCACACCAUGGGAGCCGGUAAUACCCGAAGUCAGUAGUCCAACCACGUGAGGACGCUGCCGAAGGUAGGAUUGGCGACUGGGGUGAAGUCGUAACAAGGUAAC
rnacentral:rRNA from 1 species